rnacentral:rRNA from 1 species
UACGUAGGGUGCAAGCGUUAAUCGGAAUUACUGGGCGUAAAGCGUGCGCAGGCGGUUAUGUAAGACAGAUGUGAAAUGCCCGGGCUUAACCUGGGAACUGCAUUUGUGACUGCAUGGCUAGAGUGUGUCAGAGGGGGGUAGAAUUCCACGUGUAGCAGUGAAAUGCGUAGAUAUGUGGAGGAAUACCGAUGGCGAAGGCAGCCCCCUGGGAUAACACUGACGCUCAUGCACGAAAGCCAGGGGAGCAAAACGGG